rnacentral:rRNA from 1 species
UACAGAGGGUGCGAGCGUUAAUCGGAAUUACUGGGCGUAAAGCGUGCGUAGACGGUUAUUUAAGUCGGGUGCGAAAGCCCCGGGCUCAACCUGGGAAUUGCAUUCGAGACUGAAUAGCUAGGGUACGGUAGAGGGAAGCGGAAUUUCCGGUGUAGCGGUGAAAUGCGUAGAUAUCGGGAGGAACACCAGUGGCGAAGGCGACUUCCUGGCCUGUUCUUGACGCUGAGGCGCGAAAGCUAGGGUAGCAAACGGG